GGCGGACGGGUGAGUAAUGCUUAGGAAUCUGCCUAUUAGUGGGGGACAACAUCUCGAAAGGGAUGCUAAUACCGCAUACGUCCUACGGGAGAAAGCAGGGGACCUUCGGGCCUUGCGCUAAUAGAUGAGCCUAAGUCGGAUUAGCUAGUUGGUGGGGUAAAGGCCUACCAAGGCGACGAUCUGUAGCGGGUCUGAGAGGAUGAUCCGCCACACUGGGACUGAGACACGGCCCAGACUCCUACGGGAGGCAGCAGUGGGGAAUAUUGGACAAUGGGGGGAACCCUGAUCCAGCCAUGCCGCGUGUGUGAAGAAGGCCUUUUGGUUGUAAAGCACUUUAAGCGAGGAGGAGGCUACCGAGAUUAAUACUCUUGGAUAGUGGACGUUACUCGCAGAAUAAGCACCGGCUAACUCUGUGCCAGCAGCCGCGGUAAUACAGAGGGUGCAAGCGUUAAUCGGAUUUACUGGGCGUAAAGCGCGCGUAGGUGGCCAAUUAAGUCAAAUGUGAAAUCCCCGAGCUUAACUUGGGAAUUGCAUUCGAUACUGGUUGGCUAGAGUAUGGGAGAGGAUGGUAGAAUUCCAGGUGUAGCGGUGAAAUGCGUAGAGAUCUGGAGGAAUACCGAUGGCGAAGGCAGCCAUCUGGCCUAAUACUGACACUGAGGUGCGAAAGCAUGGGGAGCAAACAGGAUUAGAUACCCUGGUAGUCCAUGCCGUAAACGAUGUCUACUAGCCGUUGGGGCCUUUGAGGCUUUAGUGGCGCAGCUAACGCGAUAAGUAGACCGCCUGGGGAGUACGGUCGCAAGA
rnacentral:rRNA from 1 species